ACCUGGCUGGCUCAGUCAGUAGAGUGUGUGACUUGUGAUCUUAGGGUUGUGGUUUGAACCCCAUGUUGGGUG
rnacentral:tRNA from 1 species